rnacentral:rRNA from 1 species
GAUGAACGCUGGCGGCGUGCCUAAUACAUGCAAGUCGAGCGAACGGACGAGAAGCUUGCUUUUCUGAUGUUAGCGGCGGACGGGUGAGUAACACGUGGAUAACCUACCUAUAAGACUGGGAUAACUUCGGGAAACCGGAGCUAAUACCGGAUAAUAUUUUGAACCGCAUGGUUCAAAAGUGAAAGACGGUCUUGCUGUCACUUAUAGAUGGAUCCGCGCUGCAUUAGCUAGUUUGUAAGGUAACGGCUUACCAAGGCAACGAUGCAUAGCCGAACUGAGAGGGUGAUCGGCCACACUGGAACUGAGACACGGUCCAGACUCCUACGGGAGGCAGCAGUAGGGAAUCUUCCGCAAUGGGCGAAAGCCUGACGGAGCAACGCCGCGUGAGUGAUGAAGGUCUUCGGAUCGUAAAACUCUGUUAUUAGGGAAGAACAUAUGUGUAAGUAACUGUGCACAUCUUGACGGUACCUAAUCAGAAAGCCACGGCUAACUACGUG